AUUGCAGAAUUCCGUGUUUCAUCGAGUCUUUGAACGCACAUUGCGCCCCCUGGUAUUCCGGGGGGCAUGCCUGUCCGAGCGUCAUU
rnacentral:rRNA from 1 species